GCUAGAAAAUGUUAAUUGGAAGAAGCAAAAAGUGGAUUGCGUGGUGCCAGUAAAAUGGUAUCGAUAUGAUCUAGUUUAAUAAAGUUAGUCGGAGGUAAGUGUUUUAAAAGGUUUUACCGUUUAUUUUUGGACUAAUUUUAUAAUGUGUUGUGCUUGAAGAACGUUGUUUUUUACAUAUUAAAUUAAAAUAUUUAUAUCAGACGAAAAAAAAAAACCUAAAAACAAUUUCUGUUUAUAUUUACUUGUUUAAUGUGUUGCGCUUGACGAAGUCUGUAUUUACUUGUUCAGGUGCCAGUGAAACGAACGAUAGAAAAGAAGAAGAAUUCAAACUGUUUGCAAAACUUUUGGUUUGAAUACAAAAGACCAAGUGAAAAUGAUACUGGAAAGACUGUUUACCGUUUGACUCCUGUCCCAAUCUAACUUAGUUGGUUCAAAAAGAAAAUACCGAGUGGGAAACAGGAGGGGGUUAAAAGGAUUAGCCCUUUUUGAACUAAGAGUCGAAGUCGUAACCAGCUAGAAGUCGUAACCAGCUCGUAUGAAAGGAUUUCUCGACGUGAAAUAGUUAAUUUUAUUCAAAAACUCCAAGAAACAGAGCUCGCUCAAGAAACAGGAAAGAAAGAGAAAGAUGAAAAAAUAUUCUG